GAAAGGGGAUGAAUUCUUUGUAAGGCUGUAUAUGAAGUGUGAAGGCUCUUCUCAUCCCAGAUGUUUCGUACAAGAAGAUCUGUGUAGCAGAAUGCCAAGCAGAAAGCCAUAUAGAGGACGAAACAGUUCCUGACACAAACUCUGGUGGGUGCUCCGAAACCUUGGAUCCUCCAGCUUAAAGUGUGAAAGCUGGAAGCAGAGAAUGCAUCAAACCUCAUCCAGUACUGUCCAAGCCCAGUGUGAUCAACAAAAAUGUGAAUUUAUACAGCUAUUUCUUGUUGGUUAAUUUGUGUUUUCAGCUAUUUCUAUGGUUAUUUUUCGUGCUAACUGCAGCAUUUAGGGUUUUACUAAAGUCAUUUGAGAAAAUUAUGCUCAACAACAAACUCUACAAUAAAUGCUUUUCGUUUGUUUAUUUCAGACACAGGAAUCAAACCUGUGACUCUUUUGUUAUGGUACACAGUGACCUACUGUAAAAGGCCUUCCUCAUACUGCUUUCAAUACAUCAUUAAAGUCUGUG